CAAACAGUAGCUUAAUACAAAGCACUCAACUUACAACUGAGACAUGUUAGUGGGAUUCUAACCUCUUUGA
rnacentral:tRNA from 1 species